UUGACAGCACUAGUAAUACAGCCCUCUCUUUGUGCCCAGAUCAGGUACUAUGUGGCACUGCCACAACCAGUGCAAGCUUCCUCCACGCUACCUCCCAAAUGUACCUUAAUCUGACCUGAAGGAACCAUCUCUAGGGAUGAGGAAAGUGCAAUCUCUGUCCUUUAAAUCCUUAACCUCU
rnacentral:sRNA from 1 species